rnacentral:rRNA from 1 species
CAAUAGCGUAUAUUAAAGUUGUUGCAGUUAAAAAGCUCGUAGUUGGAUUUCGGAGCCGACCGGGCGGUCUGUCGAGAGACACGCACUGCUCGGUGGCUCUUCCUCUCGGAGGCCCUGGCUGCCCUUAACUGGAGCGGGCAGGGGAUUCGGGACGUUUACUUUGAAAAAAUUAGAGUGUUCAAAGCAGGCCGGUGCUUGGAUACAUUAGCAUGGAAUAAUGGAAUAGGGCUUGGGUCCUAUUUUGUUGGUUUUCGGGACCGAGGUCAUGGUUAAGAGGGACAGUUGGGGGCAUUCGUAUUCAAUUGUCAGAGGUGGAAUUCUUGGAUUUAUGGAAGACGAACAACUGCGAAAGCAUUUGCCAAGGAUGUUUUCAUUAA